UACGAAGGGUGCAAGCGUUACUCGGAAUCACUGGGCGUAAAGCGCACGUAGGCGGAUCGUUAAGUCGGGGGUGAAAUCCUGGAGCUCAACUCCAGAACUGCCUUCGAUACUGGCGAUCUUGAGUCCGGAAGAGGUGAGUGGAACUCCUAGUGUAGAGGUGGAAUUCGUAGAUAUUAGGAAGAACACCAGUGGCGAAGGCGGCUCACUGGUCCGGUACUGACGCUGAGGUGCGAAAGCGUGGGGAGCAAACAGGG
rnacentral:rRNA from 1 species